rnacentral:rRNA from 1 species
UACGUAGGGGGCAAGCGUUGUCCGGAAUCAUUGGGCGUAAAGAGCGUGUAGGCGGCCCGAUAAGUCCGCUGUGAAAGUCCAGGGCUCAACCCUGGAAUGCCGGUGGAUACUGUCGGGCUCGAAUCCGGAAGAGGUGAGUGGAAUUCCUGGUGUAGCGGUGAAAUGCGCAGAUAUCAGGAGGAACACCGGUGGCGAAGGCGGGUCUCUGGGCCGAUACUGACGCUGAGGAGCGAAAGCAUGGGGAGCGAACAGG